UACUGAGUUAACGCUCUACAACCCUUUGUGAACAUACCUAUAACUGUUGCUUCGGCGGGUAGGGUCUCCGCGACCCUCCCGGCCUCCCGCCUCCGGGCGGGUCGGCGCCCGCCGGAGGAUAACCAAACUCUGAUUUAACGACGUUUCUUCUGAGUGGUACAAGCAAAUAAUCAAAACUUUUAACAACGGAUCUCUUGGUUCUGGCAUCGAUGAAGAACGCAGCGAAAUGCGAUAAGUAAUGUGAAUUGCAGAAUUCAGUGAAUCAUCGAAUCUUUGAACGCACAUUGCGCCCGCCAGCAUUCUGGCGGGCAUGCCUGUUCGAGCGUCAUUUCAACCCUCAAGCUCUGCUUGGUGUUGGGGCCCUACAGCUGAUGUAGGCCCUCAAAGGUAGUGGCGGACCCUCCCGGAGCCUCCUUUGCGUAGUAACUUUACGUCUCGCACUGGGAUCCGGAGGGACUCUUGCCGUAAAACCCCCAAUUUUCCAAAGGUUGACCUCGGAUCAGGUAGGAAUACCCGCUGAACUUAAGCAUAUCAAUAAGCGGAGGAAAAGAAACCAACAGGGAUUGCCUCAGUAACGGCGAGUGAAGCGGCAACAGCUCAAAUUUGAAAUCUGGCCCUAGGCCCGAGUUGUAAUUUGCAGAGGAUGCUUUUGGUGCGGUGCCUUCCAAGUUCCCUAGAACGGGACGCCAGAGAGGGUGAGAGCCCCGUACAGUUGGACACCAAGCCUUUGUAAAGCUCCUUCGACGAGUCGAGUAGUUUGGGAAUGCUGCUCAAAAUGGGAGGUAUAUUUCUUCUAAAGCUAAAUACCGGCCAGAGACCGAUAGCGCACAAGUAGAGUGAUCGAAAGAUGAAAAGCACUUUGAAAAGAGGGUUAAACAGCACGUGAAAUUGUUAAAAGGGAAGCGCUUGUGACCAGACUUGCGUCCGGUGAAUCACCCAGCUCUCGCGGCUGGGGCACUUCGCCGGCUCAGGCCAGCAUCAGCUCGCUGUCGGGGACAAAAGCUUCGGGAACGUAGCUCUCUUCGGGGAGUGUUAUAGCCUGUUGCAUAAUACCCUUCGGCGGGCUGAGGUACGC
rnacentral:misc_RNA from 1 species